rnacentral:lncRNA from 1 species
GUAAAAUCUGCAGUAUUUACUCAAAAAAUUUACUGAAUAAAAGAGGUAAAAUCUGCAGUAUUCCUAAAAAAAGGGUGAAAUCUUCUGUAGCACGGAUAAAAUGAACUGAAUCUUUUUAUAUGUCUCGGAUAAAAUAAUUCCACGGCACGGUAACAAUCGCCGAACACAACCACUAGUACUACUAUCUUGCACAAAAGAAUGUAGAAUCCCGCACACUCACACACGACAUGCACAAAUCUCAGCCCCCAAAGAAUUCGAAUUCCCCCUCGUUACACACACGUCUGGCACAUCUCCAUUUUUUCUUUCUUAGCACUUCUUGGCGAGGGCGCUCUUGGCCUUGUGCCGGAAGAGCACCCGCUUCCUCCCGCGGGUCGCGUUCUCCACCGUGAUCACCACCCUGCCGGCCUCCGCGGCCCGGAACGAGUUGCGCACCGCCUCCUCGCCGGCGCCCACCUUCCGCCCCUUGCUCACCACGAUGGUGUACGCGCCCUCGUCCGCCGGCACGAACUCCUCCGUGUACCUCACCUCCCACCCCAGCACCGUCACGUCCCAGGUCAGCGUCGUGUCGCCCUCGGCGGCCUCGAUCUCGAUGGUCUCGGUGGCGCCCGCCUUGACGACCACCUCGGCGAUCUCGGCGUCGUGCUCGCCGGUGAACUCGGCGUCGCCGUCGCGCUUCAGCCCGCCGUACUUCACCGGGAUGGCCUCGAUCGGGAUGUACUUGAGCAGCGUCUCGGUGACCUUGGAGGGCCGGGCGACGACCAGCUUGCUCUUGGUCCGCUGCGUCAGGAACGGGAAGAAGACGGUGGUGAAGGCGUAGUAGGAGAACGGCA